rnacentral:rRNA from 1 species
AUGCAAGUCGAACGAAGUAGCAAUACUGAGUGGCAGACGGGUGAGUAACAUGUGGGAAUCUGCCUUGUGGUUCAGGACAACAUUGGGAAACCGAUGCUAAUACUGGAUAAGCCCUUACGGGGAAAGCUUUAAUGCCAUAAGAUGAGCCCGCAUUUGAUUAGUUAGUUGGUGAGGUAAUGGCUCACCAAGACAAUGAUCAAUAGCUGAUCUGAGAGGAUGAUCAGCCACACUGGGACUGAGACACGGCCCAGACUCCUACGGGAGGCAGCAGUGGGGAAUCUUGCACAAUGGAGGAAACUCUGAUGCAGCGAUGCCGCGUGAGUGAAGAAGGCCUUUGGGUUGUAAAGCUCUUUUGUAGGGGAAGAUAAUGACUGUACCCUAAGAAUAAGGUCCGGCUAACUUCGUGCCAGCAGCCGCGGUAAUACGAAGGGACCUAGCGUAGUUCGGAAUUACUGGGCGUAAAGCGCGCGUAGGCCGUUGAGUUAGUUAAUUGUGAAAUCCCAAAGCUUAACUUUGGAACUGCAAUUAAAACUGCUCGACUAGAGUUUGAUAGAGGAAAGCGGAAUACAUAGUGUAGAGGUGAAAUUCGUAGAUAUUAUGUAGAACACCAGUUGCGAAGGCGGCUUUCUGGAUCAACACUGACGCUGAGGCGCGAAAGUAUGGGUAGCAAAGAGGAUUAGAUACCCUCGUAGUCCAUACCAUAAACGAUGAUUGCUAGAUGUUGGAAAUUUAUUUUCAGUAUCGCAGCUAACGCAUUAAGCAAUCCGCCUGGGGAGUACGACCGCAAGGUUAAAACUCAAAUGAAUUGACGGGGACCCGCACAAGCGGUGGAGCAUGUGGUUUAAUUCGAAGAUACGCGCAGAACCAUACCAACCCUUGACAUGUCUGUCGCGAGUUUAGGAAACUAGACUUUUCGGUUCGGCCGGACAGAACACAGGUGCUGC